UUAGAGGGGAGGGGUUAGUCGUAACAAGGUUUCCUGUAAGGGUGAACCUGCGGAAGGAUCAUUACCGAGUGUAGGGUUCCUAGCGAGCCCAACCUCCCACCCGUGUUUACUGUACCUUAGUUGCUUCGGCGGGCCCGCCAUUCAUGGCCGCCGGGGGCUCUCAGCCCCGGGCCCGCGCCCGCCGGAGACACCACGAACUCUGUCUGAUCUAGUGAAGUCUGAGUUGAUUGUAUCGCAAUCAGUUAAAACUUUCAACAAUGGAUCUCUUGGUUCCGGCAUCGAUGAAGAACGCAGCGAAAUGCGAUAACUAGUGUGAAUUGCAGAAUUCCGUGAAUCAUCGAGUCUUUGAACGCACAUUGCGCCCCCUGGUAUUCCGGGGGGCAUGCCUGUCCGAGCGUCAUUGCUGCCCAUCAAGCACGGCUUGUGUGUUGGGUCGUCGUCCCCUCUCCGGGGGGGACGGGCCCCAAAGGCAGCGGCGGCACCGCGUCCGAUCCUCGAGCGUAUGGGGCUUUGUCACCCGCUCUGUAGGCCCGGCCGGCGCUUGCCGAACGCAAAUCAAUCUUUUUCCAGGUUGACCUCGGAUCAGGUAGGGCUACCCAAGCUGAACUUAAGCAUAUCAUAAAAGCCGGAAGAAA
rnacentral:rRNA from 1 species